rnacentral:miRNA from 1 species
AAUAUAGGAUGCCCAGUAAAAUUUGAAUUUCAGAUAACGGACAAAUAAUUUUUUAGUAUAUGUCACAUGUAAUAUUUGGGACAUAAUUAUACUAAAAUUUUAUUUGUUAUUUAUUUGAAAUUCAAAUUUAACUGGGCAUCCUGUAUUUU